rnacentral:tRNA from 8 species
CGGGGUGUAGCGCAGCCUGGUAGCGCGCCUGCUUUGGGAGCAGGAUGUCGGGAGUUCGAAUCUCUCCACCCCGACCA